CUCUCUGUAGUUCAGUUGGUUAGAGCGCUGCACCGGAAUCACAGGUUCGAUUCCUGCCAGAGGGA
rnacentral:tRNA from 1 species